UCAUCUACAUCCAUGAUGUUGAAAAAGAAAGAAACAACUCCACAGUGUUAUCUUGAUUUGUGAACUCUCUUUAAUUAUGACAUUCAUCUAUGGACAAUUGAGUUUUUUAAUCCCUUUCUUUAUCAUGCUUAAUUGAUGUUCUCAUGUUCUCAUGUUUAAUGCUAUUCAGGAGCAACUGCCAGUGGUGAUAGCUAAGAUGAAGCUCUAUUUACAGAAUUCAUCAACAAGAACAAUACUUUUCAAACCAAUAAUAAACUGGUGAAUGCACAUGUGAUGAAGAAGAUAUGAACAAAUCGAAAGCUCUAGGUUACAAGUUAGUGGCUUUAGCAUCAAUACUAAUUCCAAGUGCAAUCGGGGUUUGUAUUCCACUUCUGAUACCUGAAAAAGAUGUGUUUUUUAUAAUCAAAACUUUUUCAGGUGUUAUAUUAUAUACCGGUUUCAUUCAUGUGUUUCCAGAUGCUUUUGAAAAUCUUACCUUUUCAUAUAUGUUUAGAGGUGAUUUUCCAUUCACCGGUUUUGUCGCUAUGUGAACCGCCAUGGAAACUCUUAUGGUGCCACCGCUUAUUUUCAGAAACAUUAUUCUAAAAGAGCAGAAAAUACCCUACUCUUAUGUAGAGAUUGGAAUUGGUUUAGGAAUCAGCAGAUGAGAACAGUCCAACUGCCCUUAUUAUUGAAGGAAUCUUCAAUGCAGCUUCAGCUAUGGCCCUUGUUGAUCUUCUUGCAGCUGAUUUUAUGAAUCCAGCGAUGCAAAAGAGUGAUAUUAUUAGACUAGGAUGCAAUUUAUCCCUUCUAUUAGGAGAAGGUUGUAUGUCUACUAUAGCCAAAUGGGCUUAGGUGUUUGAAUAUUUAUUUUUAGUUUAGUUUUUCAUUUAAAUUUGUGGAUGAUUUCCAAAUAUGCCUAUAACAAUAGACCAAUUGUCGGGAGUGUAUGAAUACACCACAUUCAACUUCAAAUUGGUUCCUGUUUAUCAAUUUUAGCAUUUUGGUCUGAGCUAUUUGGGAGUCUAUAAAUGAGUGCAUCUUUUCUAA